GGGCUUUCGUACAGACUGCUGCCACGCCAGCUGGCUAGGUCGCUCUAUCUCAACUUGCAGUAACUAUGUUUGACCAGCAGGAGGCAUGUGUGUACCGCCAAGCAGAGUCCAGCUGCCGGGAUGGUCCCCUGGUCCCAAAUUGAUUCUGUGAAUUCUAAAUGGCUCUCAAACAAGUUUAGAACAGUGUGACUGAUGCCCAUUGGACCUGAUCCUGUGGCCAACUUGCGCCCUGUCCAGAUGAUAUCACACCGGAAAGAGCAGAGGAUGGCGCAACCAAACCACCUAGCUUCAGGGAUGAGGUCGGCAGAAGAUGAGGGCACAGGAGGACCGCCGGCCAGGCACACCCCUCACACUGAAUCGCCAAGGAAGUGCCAAGCUAGAAUCUCCAGAAUUAUCCCUCUCAGAAACGUGGCGCUCAAAGAGGCAAGCUCUUGGGCAACACCAUCUGGGCCACUGCAUGGAGAACCAUGUGUGUGUGUGGGGGGGGACCAGGGUGUGAGGUCACAGAUCUUUCCUGAAAUUAGAUGACAUAGGUAGGACAGGAAGGGAACCAGCAUACACUAAGGCUUCUGGAUGUGUCCCAGGAUCUCGGGUUACACCAGGGUCACCAGGUGUCCUUGUCACACUCAGCCCUGAGUUCUGCACAGUGAGCCAGGCAGAGAAAGAGCCACAGUAAGAUCUGGCUGUAUUGACAGGUAAGAGAGAAAAGCUCAUCAUUGCC
rnacentral:lncRNA from 1 species